AACGAACGCUGGCGGCAGGCCUAACACAUGCAAGUCGAACGCCCCGCAAGGGGAGUGGCAGACGGGUGAGUAACGCGUGGGAACCUUCCCAGUGGUACGGAAUAACUGACCGAAAGGUUGGCUAAUACCGUAUACGCCCGAAAGGGGAAAGAUUUAUCGCCAUUGGAUGGGCCCGCGUCGGAUUAGCUAGUUGGUGAGGUAAUGGCUCACCAAGGCGACGAUCCGUAGCUGGUCUGAGAGGAUGACCAGCCACACUGGGACUGAGACACGGCCCAGACUCCUACGGGAGGCAGCAGUGGGGGAUAUUGGACAAUGGGCGCAAGCCUGAUCCAGCCAUGCCGCGUGAGUGAUGAAGGUCUUCGGAUUGUAAAACUCUUUCGCCGGGGAAGAUAAUGACGGUACCCGGAGAAGAAGCUCCGGCUAACUUCGUGCCAGCAGCCGCGGUAA
rnacentral:rRNA from 1 species